rnacentral:rRNA from 1 species
AUGGGUACCAAGGCCAUGGAGGCAUUUGUGGCCAAUGAGACCCCCAUAAUCGUGAAUAAGCCUCCUCCACAUGUAUUUAAACUGAUGUCUCUACCAUCAAUGAUUAUAAAGCUCACUUUGGGUUUGCUCUGGUGCAUCAUCCACUUAGCAAUCAGCCUUUUAAGCUUAUGUUCUCAUCUGAUUUUCAAUCUAGAGUGUUGUCUUAUUUCAUCUGGGUUGUUGUGGAAGUACCGGAAUCUCCAACUUGGGAAACUCAAAUACCUCGCUAUCGUGGUAGAUAGCAGAGAAGCUAAGAAUACCGUGAAGAUCAAUCAGCUGUUAUAUUGGCUCAAAACUCUUGGUGUGAAGUAUGUAUGUCUCUACGACAUUGACGGAGUGCUGAAGAAAUUGUUUGAACCUGGUAUGAAUGGCUCAAGAGAUAACAAUCCCGGAGAUUAUUUGGAUGUCAGUGCAAAUAUCAAAGCCUUAGACUGUUGUCAGAAACAGAUGACGAUAGAGUGUAUUUCUGGUUCUGAUGGCAAAGAGGGCAUUGCUAAAGCAGCCAACUUACUUUGCUCCACUUAUUUAAACGGUGAUAGCCAUACUCAAGAGGAUGUCAAAAGUGAAGUGAAUGUAAAAAAUGAGCCAGUAUUUACAGAAACUGACAUGGCCAGUGCACUGAAAUCCAUAGGUUGUGCUGGACCAGAACCUGAUCUUCUACUUGUGUAUGGUCCUGCCAGAUGCCAUUUAGGCUUUCCUACAUGGAGAUUGCGGUAUACUGAGAUUAUGCAUAUGGGACCUCUGAAAUCAAUGAAAUACGGCGCCAUUGUGAAAGCCUUCCAUAACUACUCAAAGAAACACCAAAACUAUGGUAAAUGA